GUCGUAAAAGGGGACGCGGAGGAGAAGGAAAGUCGCUCAAGCAGUGGACAGAGCGGAGAAAGCGACUUCGGGUCUGCUGGAGUUUGCUGGAGGUGCACUCCAGACUCUGUUUGCCUGCCUAUCACCAACAGAGGCUGCAGAACAGCAAAGAUUGCUGUCUGUAACUUCCUCUGGAAGCUUCAUCCCAGAGGGGCACCUGCCAGAUGCCAGCCGGAGCUCUCCUCUAUGAGUUCAGCCUGAGAAAACUCCUGAGCAUGUGCGAAAAAGAAAAGAAGAAAAGAAAAGUAAAGAAAAGAAAAAAGGAAAAAGGGCAAGCUCCUGAGUGGAUCUCUCAGGGAGCCACCAGACAGUGAAUGAAGGAGGGAAGAAAGGAGAGACAGAGAAAAUAUGGAUUUCCUCAUGGUUGUGAUUCCUCUUCACUCUUUUGAAUUUGGAAGGAUGGCAUACACAUCUGAAAAAUACCACUACUUCCUUCAUUGGACUGCAAGGUAUUUCUGUUUGGAAAAGUAAUGGAGUCCAGUCAACUUCAUUGAUCGCCAAGGACUGUCAAAAUUAUAAAACUUGCUGUGGAGCUCUGACAUGCCAGAAGCCGCUAGAAAAAGAAGUUUGACAUUCAGAAACUUAUCAAGAGGUUCUACUCUUUGGAUAGAGACCAAAAUCAUACUUUGAAAAAGCCUGACAGGUUUCUUCGGAAAAGUGGCCAUCCAUGGAAUGAAUGAAAUGUUCUCUUUCUAUUCCAGGGAUUGCAGUGGCAAAGCUAGGCUAGGUCUUGGAGGCUGGUGUAAGGCGAUGUGGGUGAAGGCAGGAGGCUGAUGGAAAGACUGGGGGGAAGAAAAGCCGAAAUGGAUUCACGGUGCCUUGGAUGAAGGACGAGAGGGGAACUGCAAGCUCCUUCAACUGGUUCUGUCCGGUGAGAAGUGAUCAAGCUUGGGCUGACAAGAGGCUCAGGGAGCCCUCACGUUCUUUCGCUUUUUUACCUGCCAAUCAAACUGCUACAAGACAACACCCUGAUCUGGCAUGGACAUUCAUUGCAGUCACCUGGAGUCACGGAAAUGACCAUGAUUGCCUGAACUUUCAUGACUUCUGUGGAUAACUGUGGUUGCAGAAAAGAGAAAACCUGGACCGUGAGGGACAUUUCACUCCCUGGGCUUUGGUUGGAGUGCAGUGGCGCGAUCUUGGCUCACUGCAACCGCCACUUCCCAGGUUCAAGUGGUUCUCCUGCCUCAGCCUCCUGAGUACCUGAAAUUACAGGCGCCCGCCACCACGCCAGUCUCAAUACCUUCACAGAGGUGAAGAAGCAGCAACCAAAUGAAUUAGACAGCAACAUGAUUCCUAGAGAAUGGCAAGACCAAUUCUUCAACUACUUCUUCAGCAUUUCUGAAACAUAUGGAAGAUGGCCCAUUGUGCUCUCUUAAUUCUUUGAUAAUCUGGACAUUGACUUUUCCAUUAUAUGACCUGGGCUUGUGGGCAUCAUGUCAUAAUGCACCUGUUCAGACAUCUCCCUGUACCAAUAUGGAUCACUUGAAGAGACUCCUUUGCCCCCAUCAAAAAGGAUACAGUUGUGUAUCUCUUCCAUUUUUGUUUACAGUGCCUAAAAUUAUUUGAGCAGUUUUUCACCUCUUCUCUGAUAAACACCUUAUUAGUCCUUAAAAAGAAAAGAAAAAAGGAAAAUAAAACUUUUAUUGAGAUCCUAA
rnacentral:lncRNA from 1 species